UGGUCCUAACCUUGGAAUCAACUUUUACUUAACUUACACAUGCAAGUUUCCGCCUCCCUGUGAAAACGCCCUUACUUCCUCCCAGGAACUAGGAGCCGGUAUCAGGCACAACUUUUAGCCCAAAACACCUAGCUUCGCCACACCCACAAGGGAAUUCAGCAGUGAUUAACAUUGAGUAUGAGCGUCAGCUCGACUCAGUUAAAGUAAAAAGAGCCGGCAAAUCUGGUGCCAGCCGCCGCGGUUACACCACGAGACUCAAGUUGACAUCUUUCGGCGUAAAGCGUGGUUAAAGUCACCUCAAGCUAUAGUUGCACUAAAACUAAGCCGUUACACGCUUGUUUGUAGGAAACUCAAAAACGAAAGUUACUAUAUCUUACACAACUUGAACCCACGACAACUGGGACACAAACUGGGAUUAGAUACCCCACUAUGCCUAGUCGUAAACCUUAAAUUACACUCUUAUCGCCCGGGAACUACGAGCUAAGCUUAAAACCCAAAGGACUUGACGGUACCCCAUAUCCACCUAGAGGAGCCUGUCCUGUAAUCGAUAACCCACGUUUAACCUCACCAUUUUUAGUACAUCAGCUUGUAUACCUCCGUCGUCAGCCUACCUCGUGAGUGCCCCCAGUGAGCCUAAUGUCUAUACAUCAGCACGUCAGGUCAAGGUGCAGUAAAUGAAAUGGAAAGAGAUGGGCUACACUCUCUAACAUAGAACAUACGGAAGACUAUUUAUGAAAUUUAGUCAGAAGGCGGAUUUAGAAGUAAAAGGGGAUCAUCAAGCCCCUUUUAAUACGGCACUGGGGUGCGUACACACCGCCCGUCACCCUCUUCGAAGCUCACAGAAACAGUAUAUAACUCAAUUUUGCUUACAAGAAGAGGCAAGUCGUAACAUGGUAAGCGUACCGGAAGGUGUGCUUGGAAA
rnacentral:ncRNA from 1 species